ensembl:lncRNA
UGGGAAAUUGUUUUUUAAUAUCCGAACAUGGUUACACCACUAGCACCAGCUUGUAAAUGUUGAUACAAGGCAAAAUGGAUUUGUACUUUCACGUUGUUUUCACCAACUUCUGAUCCUACCAUCUGAAUAUUGCAAAUCGAGACUCAUCAGACCAGUUCCUGUGUGCCAGACGUUAUGGCUGCACAGACCCGCUCUGCAGCCACCAUUGUUGUUUACAGCUCUGUUACGCCCGUCGAUUGAUCCGCAAACAGAUGUAUCUCUGACUGUGAUUCACCAAAGCUGAUUAAGUCACAAGUGUUUUGUGUGGGUUCACCAGCAUCUUGGUUUCAGAGCUGUGUUUUAUUUCUAUAAUUAUUUCCUGUACCUGUUGAAUAUUGAUGAAUUAAACAUAAGUCACAUUUCAGACUGUGAAAUACACCAAGGUCUUAAUACUAUGAAUCUGUAGUGGUUACUUGUUGCUUUUCGGUAUUGUAAUUUGUAAAAUUACAAAAUGUUGAAUAAGCUAUCUGUGGAUAUAUAAAGUAUAUGCUGUUUGAAUACAAUCAAAAUAAUGAAACACAGGACUGUCUUAGCCUAAGGAUACAAAAUAAUCAAGGUUUCACAGUGGCAGUUAUCUAAAUGAUUCUCUCAUAAAUCAUUAUAAUUUAGGGGGGAUGCUGCAGAAGCAACGCUAUUGUCUGUGGUGCCGCUUAAUUUGAG